CCAUCUUUUUUUAAUUAAAGUUAUAUUUAAAACAUUAGCUGAUCCUUCAUCAUGGUGUCUAAUUUCUGCUCCAGCUCAUUCUGGGGAACUACAGGCGUCUCCAUGGUGAUAACGGCUCUGAAUGUUUGUUUGUUUGUUUGUUUUUACAGUGUCCUAACUUUAAAAUCAGUUAUUUUCUCUUUCAGUGGGUCAGGAUUAAUUGAUGACAGCUCGUCUAUCAGCUCCAUUUGUAAUUUUUAAAUAUUUCCUGCAGGACAGUGUUUGUCCACAGGAGGGCAGCAUAACCCUAACGAAAUAUAAACGAGCAGGAAAUCAGAUGCUCUGGAAAAGUGUCUUCACAGGUUUCCAGAUCGCUGCUGCUGGAGUUCUGGCUAAAACCAGGAGGAUAGCGCAUAGCAUCGAUCAUCAUUUUGAUGAAGACUUAACAAAAUACACUUCAGCAUCGCAGCGCCACCACUGCAGAGCUUGUUUAUUAUUGGCAAGAACUGAGAUAAAGACUUUUAGACAAAAAAGGCAACGAGAGGAGCCAAGAAAAACCUCUGGCACAGAUGUGGGAGGAAGUUUGAUGACUUUUAUUUCCUCUGAUGAAUCCUCCUGGUGAUUUUUGAACCUCUGGAGAACCAAACGAGGGGUUUCCUUCAGCUCCCAACAAAAACUUUGCUGCUUUUCUUCAACUUCUUCAAACAAUCCAGGUGGAGCUUCCUGUUGAGAAAGUGUCCAAAGAUGAUGAUAAUCCCGCCACAUGCCUCCCUGAUUACCGCCGCCGUGGAUUGACUCGGCUGUUCCGGGCUUUUUGCAGAGACGACACCAGCAGAGGCUGCUAAGGUGAUCCAGGCGGUUCUGUUCGGACCCUGCAGAUUUCUGUUUACAAUCACUGAGAUCAAACGGUUCCAGGGCGGCCAAGUCCUUCCUGCAACUUUUAGAGGCGUCCUAAACGUUUCCUCCUGAUCUGAUGAAUGUCUCAUCAACGGCUGGAAAAAUGUGAAAAUGACAUCUUGAAAAAGUUCAAUGUAUGAAACUCAUUUGUUGUCAUUUUGAUGAUUCUGGCUUACAGAUCAAAAAACCACAAAUUCAGAGUCUCAGAUAAUAAGAAUAUGACAUCAGAUCAAUAAAAAUAUAUAUCUUAGCCAAAAUGUCA